UACGGGGGGGGCAAGCGUUGUUCGGAAUUACUGGGCGUAAAGGGCGCGUAGGCGGCCUUCUAAGUCGAACGUGAAAUCCCUGGGCUCAACCCAGGAACUGCGUCCGAUACUGGAAGGCUUGAAUCCGGGAGAGGGAUGCGGAAUUCCAGGUGUAGCGGUGAAAUGCGUAGAUAUCUGGAGGAACACCGGUGGCGAAGGCGGCAUCCUGGACCGACACUGACACUGAGGAGCGAAAGCCAGGGGAGCAAACGGG
rnacentral:rRNA from 1 species